UGCCUUACACAUGCAAGUCGAACGGCAGCACGGGGGCAACCCUGGUGGCGAGUGGCGAACGGGUGAGUAAUACAUCGGAACGUGUCCUGUUGUGGGGGAUAACCCACCGAAAGGUGAGCUAAUACCGCAUGACCUGGAAACAGUAAGGCGGGGGACCGCAAGGCCUCGCGCGAUUGGAGCGGCCGAUGUCCGAUUAGCUAGUUGGUGGGGUAAAGGCCCACCAAGGCGACGAUCGGUAGCUGGUCUGAGAGGAUGAUCAGCCACACUGGGACUGAGACACGGCCCAGACUCCUACGGGAGGCAGCAGUGGGGAAUUUUGGACAAUGGGGGCAACCCUGAUCCAGCCAUGCCGCGUGAGUGAAGAAGGCCUUCGGGUUGUAAAGCUCUUUCGGUGGGAACGAAACGGUUCGUGCUAACACCACGGACUAAUGACGGUACUCACAGAAGAAGCACCGGCUAACUACGUGCCAGCAGCCGCGGUAAUACGUAGGGUGCGAGCGUUAAUCGGAAUUACUGGGCGUAAAGCGUGCGCA
rnacentral:rRNA from 1 species